rnacentral:rRNA from 1 species
CGGGCUCAACCUAGGAACUGCAUCUGAAACUGGCAAGCUUGAGUCUCGUAGAGGAAAGUAGAAUUCCAGGUGUAGCGGUGAAAUGCGUAGAGAUCUGGAGGAAUACCGGUGGCGAAGGCGGCCCCCUGGACGAAGACUGACGCUCAGGUGCGAAAGCGUGGGGAGCAAACAA